rnacentral:misc_RNA from 1 species
AUGACUGCUUUGUUAAUGGAUGUGAUGGAAAUGAAGCCUGAUGAGGCUGGCAUCGAUCCUGGGAUCAGUUAGCAUGGCCUCCUGAAUGACUUCACGUAUAAUAAAGGAGGCAUUCGGGCAACUUUGGUCAUAAAAUGUUGGAGUGAGCUGAGCAUAACCCAAUUGCCCUCCAAACAAAAUUGCAUAAACUAAAACUGCCGCUACCAUCAAUAAU